UAGAGUUUGAUCCUGGCUCAGAUUGAACGCUGGCGGCAGGCCUAACACAUGCAAGUCGAACGGUAACAGGAAGCAGCUUGCUGCUUCGCUGACGAGUGGCGGACGGGUGAGUAAUGUCUGGGAAACUGCCCGGUGGAGGGGGAUAACUACUGGAAACGGUAGCUAAUACCGCAUAACGUCGCAAGACCAAAGAGGGGGACCUUCGGGCCUCUUGCCACCGGAUGUGCCCAGAUGGGAUUAGCUUGUUGGUGAGGUAACGGCUCACCAAGGCGACGAUCCCUAGCUGGUCUGAGAGGAUGACCAGCCACACUGGAACUGAGACACGGUCCAGACUCCUACGGGAGGCAGCAGUGGGGAAUAUUGCACAAUGGGCGCAAGCCUGAUGCAGCCAUGCCGCGUGUAUGAAGAAGGCCUUCGGGUUGUAAAGUACUUUCAGCGGGGAGGAAGGGAUUGUGGUUAAUAACCGCAGUCAUUGACGUUACCCGCAGAAGAAGCACCGGCUAACUCCGUGCCAGCAGCCGCGGUAAUACGGAGGGUGCAAGCGUUAAUCGGAAUUACUGGGCGUAAAGCGCACGCAGGCGGUCUGUCAAGUCGGAUGUGAAAUCCCCGGGCUCAACCUGGGAACUGCAUUCGAAACUGGCAGGCUUGAGUCUCGUAGAGGGGGGUGGAAUUCCAGGUGUAGCGGUGAAAUGCGUAGAGAUCUGGAGGAAUACCGGUGGCGAAGGCGGCCCCCUGGACGAAGACUGACGCUCAGGUGCGAAAGCGUGGGGAGCAAACAGGAUUAGAUCCCUGGUAGUCCACGCCGUAAACGAUGUCUACUUGGAGGUUGUGCCCCUGAGGCGUGGCUUCCGGAGCUAACGCGUUAAGUAGACCGCCUGGGGAGUACGGCCGCAAGGUUAAAACUCAAAUGAAUUGACGGGGGCCCGCACAAGCGGUGGAGCAUGUGGUUUAAUUCGAUGCAACGCGAAGAACCUUACCUGGUCUUGACAUCCACGGAAGACUGCAGAGAUGCGGUUGUGCCUUCGGGAGCCGUGAGACAGGUGCUGCAUGGCUGUCGUCAGCUCGUGUUGUGAAAUGUUGGGUUAAGUCCCGCAACGAGCGCAACCCUUAUCCUUUGUUGCCAGCGGUUAGGCCGGGAACUCAAAGGAGACUGCCAGUGAUAAACUGGAGGAAGGUGGGGAUGACGUCAAGUCAUCAUGGCCCUUACGACCAGGGCUACACACGUGCUACAAUGGCAUAUACAAAGAGAAGCGACCUCGCGAGAGCAAGCGGACCUCAUAAAGUAUGUCGUAGUCCGGAUUGGAGUCUGCAACUCGACUCCAUGAAGUCGGAAUCGCUAGUAAUCGUGGAUCAGAAUGCCACGGUGAAUACGUUCCCGGGCCUUGUACACACCGCCCGUCACACCAUGGGAGUGGGUUGCAAAAGAAGUAGGUAGCUUAACCUUCGGGAGGGCGCUUACCACUUUGUGAUUCAUGACUGGGGUGAAGUCGUAACAAGGUAACCGUA
rnacentral:rRNA from 1 species